CACGUAGGGGGCAAGCGUUGUCCGGAUUUAUUGGGCGUAAAGAGCUCGUAGGCGGCGCGGUAAGUCGGGUGUGAAAUCUUGGAGCUUAACUCCGAAACUGCAUUCGAUACUGCCGUGCUUGAGGACUGGAGAGGAGACUGGAAUUUACGGUGUAGCGGUGAAAUGCGUAGAUAUCGUAAGGAAGACCAGUGGCGAAGGCGGGUCUCUGGACAGUUCCUGACGCUGAGGCACGAAGGCCAGGGGAGCAAACGGG
rnacentral:rRNA from 1 species